CAAACGAAGCGGCAACUUUGUUUCUGAUGCGCUGCAGCAAGAACACCCUACAAGAAUUGUAUGAUGGAAACUAAUACAUAGGUAUUUUUAUUACUAACACAUUUGAAAAUAUUUCUAAUAUUUUUGCGUUGGUUAAAAAAAGACCAUAAAGCUCUUAUUUUUACGAUAUUGCAAAUGUGGAUGCGAGAGUGAAACAACUAAUAUAUUCGACAGAGUUGCAUUUUUUAUGACAGUUUAGGAGUUCGAAGAAAAGCGCGCUGACGCUUAAAUUAAAAGGAAUUGUGGCAGCGUGCAGACGUGAAAUUUGAGCGAACAUUAAAUUGUUAUUUAAAACAAAUAAGAGAAGCGUGAUAAAAAUAAGUAAAAAAAUGAAAAGAAGACAUUUUCAAAAUUGUCUUUAUAAAGAAAAAAGGACAUUUGAGUCCAAUGUUAAAAAUUAUAAAAGAUUGCUAGAAGUGGAAUGUGCGGGUAGUGAAAGUGAAGAAAAUUCGAGGGCUUUUGUGAAAAGUAUUCCCCUUAUAUCCACAAGUGAACCCGAUCCUGUAGCUUCACCACCUGAAGUAGAUAAUGAAAGUCAGAUCAGUAAUUUUUUGGCCACCGAUAGUUUGGAUGUAGAGCCCGAAGCGUCCACUUCUUUAGCUUUAAGUUUCCCUGCAGAAAAUAUUGACGCAAAGAAAAAGUGUGACGAACUUAAAUCAUGGGCUGUUAGGAAUAAUAUUUCUCAAAACGCUUUAGAGGAUUUAUUGAGAACGUUGCAUAAAAUAGGAGUCAAUGAUAUUCCCCUGUCUGCGAAAACACUAUUAAAUACCAGCAAAGAAAAGAUAAAUGUUUCAGAAAUUUCGGGUGGUGAAUUUUUGUAUUUAGGGAUUCAAAAUUUUUUUCUUUCGAGCUCUUUUAACUACUUAGACGGACAAACUGAAGUUUCUAUAGAUGUAGGUUUUGAUGGACUCAAACUUUAUAAAAGUUCGAACAGAGUUUUAUGGCCUAUCCUGGGUUCAAUUGUAGGGUUUCCUAAUGUCAAUCCCUUUAUGAUCGCGUGUUUUUCAGGAUUCAAAAAACCAAAUAAUUUAGAUAGUUUCAUGUCGAAUUUUUGUGCGGAAGUAAAGGUGCUUAGAGAAAAUGGCGUUAAAGUAGGGUUUAAACAAAAUGUAUUGCAAUUUAAUAUCCGUCUGUUUGUUUGUGAUUCCCCAGCUAGGGCUUAUGUGACAGGAGUAAUAUCACACAAUGGCAAAAACGGUUGCUCCAAGUGUUGCCAGGUGGGUGAUUACAAAAAUAAUAGGAUUUGUUUUCAGAAACAAAUCGGCCCUCUAAGAUCAGAUACAAGUUUUAAAUUACGAUUAAAUCCCUCUCAUCACCUAGAAAAUUUUAAAGUAAAAAAAAGCAUUUUAGAAGAAUCAGGGUUUGGAAUGGUGUCGCAGUUUCCCCUAGAUAGUAUGCACCUAGUCGACUUAGGGGUAACUAAGAAACUACUUAAACUUAUUAUUAAAAAAGAAAAUCAUACUAUUAUAAACAAGAAGCUCGAUUUUAUCUCUAAAUAUGUCCCAUCAGAGUUUGUCCGCAUAUCUAGAAGUUUAGAAGAAAUUCAUAAUUGGAAGUCGACUGAGUUUAGGCAGUUUUUAUUAUAUACCGGAAUAUUCGUUCUAAAAGAUUGUAUCAGCAGUGAUCAGUAUUAUCAUUUUUUGUUAUUGCAUAGUGGUAUUCGUCUUUUGUCUAAUGAAAAAUCUCACAUAAUUGAGUCCAAUGUUUCCCAACAAAUGCUACAAGAUUUCGUCAAUAUUUUUGGAAUUAUAUAUGGUGAUGAGUUGGUUAGUUUUAAUGUUCAUGGGUUACUUCACUUAGCAGAUUGCGUUAAACAAUUUGGGCCCUUAGACUCAUUUUCAGCAUACAGGUUCGAAAACUUCAUGCAAUAUAUAAAAAAACUUGUAAGUAAACCCAACAAAAUCCUUCAGCAAAUAUAUCUCAGACUUCAUGAAAAGCAGGGACUUCAAUUAAAUUCAGAGAACGAGUCAAAAUUUGCAUCAUUUAAUUUAAAUCCGAACAAAAUGAAAGAUAGUUUUUGUUUUAGUGAAUCGACAGGACCUAUGAAGGUUAUCAAUAUUAUAAAGUCACAAGAGCCCAAUAAAAUAAAUAAAAUAAUAAAUAAAAUAAAAGUAAGUGUUUGACAUCCUUAUGCUGGUUUCUUUUGAUAUUUAGUUUCUCGAUUCUACGAUUUAUUAAAAUAUAAUUUCGUAAAAAUUUCUUUAUUUUCAGAUUGUUGAAAAGAGUGAAAUGCUUGCACAAAAUAAGGCAAUAAGCGAGUGCAAGGUCAUGCUCAAAAAGGUGACGGAAUCGGUGUUCCGCAUGACUGGUGAGACCCAGGACAAAGAGCUGGACGACAUCGCGAGCACGUUGCCGCUGCAGUCUCAGACGGCAGUCGCUGAAGUGGAGGAGAAACUGCAAUGCCCGGAGUAUGCCCAAGCAAUGGUAAUUAAAUCAAAGAUUUUUCUUGAAUAUCCCUUGUUGGAACCUACAUAAUUCCUUUGUUUUAAUCUUUUUUAAAGACGACAUUCCUCCACAAAGUCAAAGGGGCAUCUGAAGACGUCGCGACCAUAAUGCGAAAUAUUUUUUCUGACGAGCUGCCACAGGGGUUUAACUGGGACGGAAGGUGGGAGAAAAAGUCCCUUUGCAAGUUGGCACUCAUCGAUACCAUUUUGCGAAACGUAUUUAAAAAACAAGGAUCGAGGAGUUUCGAGCUCAGCGUUAAAAAAUCUAUUUUGCUGAGUCAUCAUAGAAUUAAGCAGCGCACUUAUCUACGCAACAAAAAUAAAAAUACAGCAAAAUAAUGUAAAAUAAAAUAAUAUAAAUAAAAACAUAUA